rnacentral:tRNA from 1 species
GCCUUCGUGGUGUAGUGGUCGGCACGCUUCACGCGUAACCGAGAGGUCCGUGGUUCGAUUCCCGGCGAAGGCG